rnacentral:rRNA from 1 species
UAUAGGCGAAUGACUGCGUUAGAAUCGCCCUUAGAGUUUGAUUAUGGCUCAGGACGAACGCUGGCCGGCGUGCCUAAUACAUGCAAGUCGAGCGGACAGAAGGGAGCUUGCUCCCGGAUGUUAGCGGCGGACGGGUGAGUAACACGUGGGUAACCUGCCUGUAAGACUGGGAUAACUCCGGGAAACCGGAGCUAAUACCGGAUAGUUCCUUGAACCGCAUGGUUCAAGGAUGAAAGACGGUUUCGGCUGUCACUUACAGAUGGACCCGCGGCGCAUUAGCUAGUUGGUGAGGUAACGGCUCACCAAGGCGACGAUGCGUAGCCGACCUGAGAGGGUGAUCGGCCACACUGGGACUGAGACACGGCCCAGACUCCUACGGGAGGCAGCAGUAGGGAAUCUUCCGCAAUGGACGAAAGUCUGACGGAGCAACGCCGCGUGAGUGAUGAAGGUUUUCGGAUCGUAAAGCUCUGUUGUUAGGGAAGAACAAGUGCAAGAGUAACUGCUUGCACCAUGACGGUACCUAACCAGAAAGCCACGGCUAACUACGUGCCAGCAGCCGCGGUAAUACGUAGGUGGCAAGCGUUGUCCGGAAUUAUUGGGCGUAAAGGGCUCGCAGGCGGUUUCUUAAGUCUGAUGUGAAAGCCCCCGGCUCAACCGGGGAGGGUCAUUGGAAACUGGGAAACUUGAGUGCAGAAGAGGAGAGUGGAAUUCCACGUGUAGCGGUGAAAUGCGUAGAGAUGUGGAGGAACACCAGUGGCGAAGGCGACUCUCUGGUCUGUAACUGACGCUGAGGAGCGAAAGCGUGGGGAGCGAACAGGAUUAGAUACCCUGGUAGUCCACGCCGUAAACGAUGAGUGCUAAGUGUUAGGGGGUUUCCGCCCCUUAGUGCUGCAGCUAACGCAUUAAGCACUCCGCCUGGGGAGUACGGGUCGCAAGACUGAAACUCAAAUGAUUGACGGAAGGGCGAUUCGUUAACCGCAGAAUAGUCCCGUAGUGAGU